AUUGGCCCAGAANGUUUACCGUGAAAAAAUUAGAGUGUUCAAAGCAGGCAGAUCCAAUUUUCUGCCACCGAAUACAUUAGCAUGGGAUAAUGGAAUAGGACCCUGUCCUCCUAUUUUCAGUUGGUUUUGGCAGCGCGAGGACUAGGGUAAUGAUUAAUAGGGAUAGUUGGGGGCAUUAAUAUUUAAUUGUCAGAGGUGAAAUUCUUGGAUUUAUGAAAGAUUAACUUCUGCGAAAGCAUCUGCCAAGGAUGUUUUCAUUAAUCAAGAACGAAAGUUAGGGGAUCGAAGACGAUCAGAUACCGUCGUAGUCUUAACCAUAAACGAUGCCGACCAGCGAUUAGGAGACGUUGAAUACAAAACACCACCAUCGGCGCGGUCGUCCUUGGCGUUGUCGGCUUCACGGCUGGCGGCGCGAGGGCGGUAGAGCCCGGUGGCACCGGUGAAUGACUCCCCUAGCANNUUGUGAGAAUUNUU
rnacentral:rRNA from 1 species